AAAAGACACAACAGUUUCCCGGGAAAGGAAGAUGAUUCCAGUUUAAUUCAUUCAACAGAACUCUUCCAAGAAUGAGACCAGAAACCUUAACUGCAUCUUGGAGGGAGCUGGAAGCUUUCCCAUCACAGUGAGGCCAGCUGCUACCAUGGGUGCCAGUGCCAGAGCCGCUGUCUGCAGGCACUCUCAUGUCUGCUUGGGCCAAGCAGCAAUCUAAAUUAAGAUGAUCAUCUGGGUCCUCAGGCCCUCAGGAGUGGAAGCUUUCUCCAGCAUUCAGGCGGCACCUAACGCUCUAUCCUGAGACCACAGAGAUAACUAAGAUGUGCCAAAGGUUUUGAGGAGAAGGUGACAUCAAUGCUCUGUGUCAGUUCAGAGGCUAACUGUAUGUGUCACAAGUAGCAUCUGUGGGUGACCAAUUGUCGUUAACUUCAGAUGUUUUGCCUUGAGGAGAGUGUGCAAGAAUGAAAAGAAAACACCAUCAGAAUCAUGUGGACCCACAUUCAUCCCUCCCUUCACCCCUACUGGGAAGGAAUCCAGAAGGCUCAAAGAUGUGGAAAAAGCUACCAGAAAAACAGUACCUGGGACAGAGGGUAGAGAUUCCUAUGGCAGAAAUGUGACUACUUUUAAUCUUUCUUCCAUCAUCUCAGCUUUUAAAUUUCUCCCUAGAGAACCUUUCAGUAGUAAGAUUCAGAGGUGCGUGUUAGGGUGUCAGGUGCACCCUGUGUUCCAGAGGUAGAUAGUACAGGCUCCCUUGUCUGGAGGCAAAGCAGGGCCAGAGUUGGCAGGUUCAGUUUCAAGGCUUUGGGAAAGCAGUGGCCCAGCAGUAUCUCUUUUGGCUCUUGGAAGCAGGAAUGCACACUUGAUUCAGGCUGGGAGCAAAUCCCUGUUUCAUCUUUCAGGAAUAUCAGGAGUGUGGCAGCAGGUAACAGGGUGCUUUGCAGAACAAGCAGAGAGGCGUACACCUCAGGGCACACCCCAGGGAGCCAUAGUGUCCCAGUGUGGAGGCAGAAAGGUAGAAAGGGGACAUUGGAGAAGCUUAGAGUAACCUUGUGAACUUUAGCCUUAAAUCAGCUGACUGAGCAGGGUCUUCUCUUAACCCUGUUCAGGAUGAGGCUAUGCCUGGGGUUAAAAAGAAAAAGCCUCCAACUCUUUUGCAUUAGCAGCUAUGAGGAUGGAAAAAAUUAUAGUGAUGGUGUUUGUUUUUUCGUUAACAGGUUAACCUGACCAUUUCGGGAAUGUCAUGAAGUAUUUUUCUAAGAUAAAAUUUUUACUGAGUAAUACUUGUGCCACUACUUAAACCAUUACCUUAAAUUGUUUUCUAAUAUAAAUAAUUCUGGGAUGAACACCUAUGAAUAUAUAUUUUCUCCCAUCACUGAAGUGAGAUUGCUGAAUCAAAGGAUGGAAGGUUUUGAAGACUCUGGAUACAGCUUUCUAAGUUCCUUUCUAGAAAAUUGGGUUAACAAAAGCUCC